UACGAAGGGUGCAAACGUUGCUCGGAAUUAUUGGGCGUAAAGCGCACGUAGGCGGCUUUGCAAGUCCCAUGUGAAAGCCCACGGCUUAACCGUGGAAGUGCAUGGGAAACUGCAGAGCUUGAGUACUUAAGAGGAUCGCGGAAUUCCCGGUGUAGAGGUGAAAUGCGUAGAUAUUGGGAGGAACACCAGUGGCGAAGGCGGCUCACUGGACCGGUUCUGACGCUGAGGCGCGAAAGCGUGGGGAGCAAACGGG
rnacentral:rRNA from 1 species